ACAACAACAUUCGGACCGUCGGUCUACCGAGCAACAUCACUAGCUCGGUGGAAGAUCUUCCCUUGUGUCGUUAUA
rnacentral:pre_miRNA from 1 species